UACAGGGGGGGCAAGCGUUGUUCGGAAUUACUGGGCGUAAAGGGCUCGUAGGUGGCCAACUAAGUCGGACGUGAAAUCCCUCAGCUUAACUGGGAACUGCGUCCGAUACUGGAUGGCUUGAGUUUGGGAGAGGGAUGCGGAAUUCCCGGUGUAGAGGUGAAAUUCGUAGAUAUCGGGAGGAACACCAGUGGCGAAGGCGGCGAUCAUGGGAAGAUACUGACGCUGAGGUGCGAAAGCGUGGGGAGCAAACAGG
rnacentral:rRNA from 1 species